UAGCUCAGCAUGGGAGAGCGCCUCGUUCGCAACGAGGAGGUCGCCGGUUCGAGCCCGACG
rnacentral:tRNA from 1 species